AUUGAACGCUGGCGGCAGGCCUAACACAUGCAAGUCGAGCGGAUGAAGGGAGCUUGCUCCUGGAUUCAGCGUCGGACGGGUGAGUAAUGCCUAUGAAUCUGCCUGGUAGUGGGGGAUAAUGUCCGGAAACGGGCGCUACUACCGCCUACUUCCUGCGCGAGCUAGAUGGUGAUCUUCGGACCUCACGCUCUCAUAUGAGCCUAGGUCGGAUUAGUUAGCUGGUGGGGUAGAGGCCUACUAAGGAGACGAUCGGUAACUGGUCUGAGAGGGUGAUCAGUCACACAGGAGCUGAGACACGGUACAGAGUCCGACGGGAGGCAGCAGUGGGGAAGAGUGGAAGAAGGGCGAAAGACUGAUCCAGCCAUGGCGCGUGGGUGAAGAAGGGCUGCGGAUUGGAAAACACUUUAAGGUGGGAGGAAGGGCAGUAAGUUAAAACCUUGCUGAGUGGACGUUACGAACAGAGUAAGCACCGGCAAACUUGGU
rnacentral:rRNA from 1 species